GCUUUUGGUUCCAGUGGUAGAAUGCUCGCCUGCCACGCGGGCGCCCCGGGUACGAUUCCCAGCCGAUGCA
rnacentral:tRNA from 1 species